GGCAGAUAAGGGGGAACGACGUGGUUCCCCUGCUGCCCCUGAAAACAAAAAUAUUCACAAGCAGCUUCGUUCAGAAAACAUUGCUGGCUUUGCAGAGAGCUUAGAGAGAUAACAAACUUGCUCUACUUGUACGCUACACCCAAACAAAAAUAGUUUGUACAUCUUCUCGUUUGCUGUUGUUUUUUUUUUAAUAGAAUUUAUUUUAAGGAUAUGAAAUUGGCUAAUGAAUAAUGUGGGUUUUGUUCACUGUCCAAAUGAGUUUUAAAGGGAUCUAUUCGUUUGGGUUCUGGUUAUUUCAAAUGGGUUCUUUUGGCUGUUGAAGAUAUGUUAGAAUCCGGAUUUGGGUGUUCAAAUAUGAAGAUUAUGUGCAUGGUUUUUUUUGAUCUCUUUGCAAAGCCACUGAAGUUUUCUGAUCGAAGCUGCUGUCUUCAGCUUUGCCACCUCAGCCACCACCAAAAGAGUCAUUUGCUCGGCGUUACAAGUUUCUCUGGCCUAUGCUUUUUGCUGUCAACCUUGCUGUUGGAGAUUGGUUAAUUUGCUGGAGGAUAUCAUGGAUGGCAGCUGAAUACUGAUCUUCAUGACUACCAAGGAAGGAUGUGAUCAGGUCACCCAUCAGCUUUGCAUGGAUGGUUAGCAAGCUCUUUCAAUUAAUGGAGAUAAAAGUCAAGCAGAAAGGGAUUGGGUCCUCUCAGAGUUUAAAGCUGGCAGGAGUGCCAUUAUGACCGCAACAGAUGUUGCAGCUUGUGGCUUGGGAAUGGAGAUAAAACUAUAAUGCUUGUUGAAAGACUUGAUAGAAAUUCAUUUUUAGUACAGGAAAUUGUGUUGGUAAACAAUAGCUAAUAGCACUCAUCAUCAUCAUUAUCAACUCAUUUUGGAAAGAAAUCAUUAUCUAGAUAUUCUUGUUGUCCCUAUUUUAAGUCUUCUUUUAAUUUUAUCAGGUUUAUAGAGAACAUUUUUUAGUAUUGAUCAUGCUUUUCAUUGAUUAAACAGAUGCGAGCCAUUUCACUCAGCUCUUUGCUGCAUAUGUUGGAGAUCCACCUUUAUUUCUUGUUUGCACUCAUUUGUUAUAUUUUCUAUUCUGAUGCUGCGACUUGGUCAUUUUGAAAGAUUCAUGUUUUUUAGUUAUUGCUUUGCUAUAUUUAGUGGUCUCUAAUUGUCUCUUGAACAUCUUUUUUUAUUUUUUUAUUUUAUCUAAGUUGGUGUUAUUUGUCACAUGGAUUCUGCUUGUAUAUCUGUUGAGCCACUUGUUUUCAUGUCUAUGGAUAUUGCCCUUGAACACUUAUUUUCAGCUACAGCAACACUCAUGCAUGCAGCAAUGUAUUAAGGACUUAAGGUCAUAGUUUCUCUGAUCUAAAUAAGAUUCUGAUGUGAGAGGUUGUUAUCCUACUGCAUUUCUUAUGACUUGUGAUGUGCUUUGGUUUUGGGGCAGAUGUGAAGGACAUGAAUUAUGCGAUCAAUCAUGACUUCCAGGGGUAUAUUCACCGCAUUGGUUGAACUGGAAGGGCUGGGGCAAAAGGAACUGCAUUAACUUUCUUCACAGCUGGAAACACCAUAUUAUCUAAGGAAUUCAUCUGCAUACUUGAAGAAGCUGGAUAGAAGGUCAGUCCUGAAUUGGCUGCAGUGGGGCAUGGUGCACCUCCUCCCCCUUAGAUUAGUUUUGACUAGUUUGAAUACUCUUAGGUGGUGUUUAUAUGCAUGAGUGUGUGUACUUGGUUACUGAAAUCAAUUGUUUCAGUGAAUAUCAAUCAAUUAGGUCAUGGGGGUUUUCGAGAUUGUGGGAUUUGUUAUGGUGGUGGUCGCACACUCUAUUUUGUGGGAAACAUUAGCAUGUAUGAUUAGAAAAUAGGAGUUAAAAUGUCUUUUUUCCUUUCAACUUUAAUUUAUGUUGAUUUUUUGUUCAAUUACAUAGAGGACUAACUAUAGUUAGUGGUGGACUAUGUAAGAUAAAACAUCUGUUUAUAUCAUAAAGGUUUUGAGGAAGAUGAUAAACAA